GAGACACCCUUAGGGGGCAAGACUUGCUUCAUUAGGGCUUUGGUGCUCACUGAGUCUGCCCCUUGAGUGUGUCUCU
rfam:Myotis davidii contig125050, whole genome shotgun sequence.